GGAUUAGAUACCCUGGUAGUCCACGCCCUAAACGAUGUAUGCUUGAUGUUGGGUCCAUUAGGAUUCAGUGUCGGAGGAAACCCGUUAAGCAUACCACCUGGGAAGUACGAUCGCAAGGUUGAAACUCAAAGGAAUUGACGGGGGCCCGCACAAGCGGUGGAUCAUGUGGUUUAAUUCGAUGCAACGCGAAGAACCUUACCCGGGCUCGAAAUGUAGGUAGUACAACCCCGAAAAGGGAAGGAUAGGUUCAGUCCUAAGCCUACAUAGGUGCUGCAUGGCUGUCGUCAGCUCGUGCCG
rnacentral:rRNA from 1 species